AGCGAGGUAGCUCAACUGGUAGAGUGCCCGGCUGUUAACCGGGAGGUUGUGGGUUCGAAGCCCACCCUCGCUGCCU
rnacentral:tRNA from 1 species